rnacentral:lncRNA from 1 species
AGCAGAAAGUCGGUUGCCGUAGCGCCCUAAAAUGGGCGCCACAGAGUCCAGAUGAAGAAACGAGGCAGAAAGGCCGGCGAUGCAGCGCCGGUGAUGGGCGCCAUGGCACCAACCCUCGAACACAAUAAAAACCCAGACUUUUUAUUUAUUCUCUCAGCCCAAUUCAUCUAGAACAGGUCCAACGCUCCAAGACAAUAUAAAUACCUAAGAAGAGACCUAAUUCUGGGGGAUUGUAGUGGGCAAAACACAGAAAAAUUACAGAGAGCGG